rnacentral:rRNA from 1 species
UACGUAGGGUGCAAGCGUUGUCCGGAAUUAUUGGGCGUAAAGAGCUCGUAGGCGGUCUGUUGCGUCGGCUGUGAAAACCCGGGGCUCAACCCCGGGCCUGCAGCCGAUACGGGCAGACUAGAGUUCGGCAGGGGAGACUGGAAUUCCUGGUGUAGCGGUGAAAUGCGCAGAUAUCAGGAGGAACACCGGUGGCGAAGGCGGCAUCCUGGACCAAUACUGACACUGAGGAGCGAAAGCCAGGGGAGCAAACGGG